AUGUACCACUCCUGCACACCGGCUCUUCCGCGCCGUCCGCACCCACCUGGCGGCUGCUCGCAAUGUUUUAUUAGCC
rnacentral:sRNA from 1 species